rnacentral:rRNA from 1 species
UACGGAAGGCAGCAGGGGGAAUAUUGCACAAUGGGCGCAAGCCUGAUGCAGCCAUGCCGCGUGUAUGAAGAAGGCCUUCGGGUUGUAAAGUACUUUCAGUCGUGAGGAAGGUGUUAAGGUUAAUAACCUUAGCAAUUGACGUUAGCGACAGAAGAAGCACCGGCUAACUCCGUGCCAGCAGCCGCGGUAAUACGGAGGGUGCGAGCGUUAAUCGGAAUUACUGGGCGUAAAGGGCACGCAGGCGGUUAAUUAAGUUGGAUGUGAAAUCCCCGGGCUUAACCUGGGAAUGGCAUUCAAGACUGGUUAGCUAGAGUCCUGUAGAGGGGGUAGAAUUCCAUGUGUAGCGGUGAAAUGCGUAGAGAUGUGGAGGAAUACCGGUGGCGAAGGCGGCCCCUGGACAAAGACUGACGCUCAUGUGCGAAAGCGUGGGGAGCGAAACAGGGAUUAGAUACC